rnacentral:rRNA from 1 species
CAGCCGCCGCGGGAAUACAGAGGGUGCGAGCGUUAAUCGGAUUUACUGGGCGUAAAGCGUGCGUAGGCGGCUUCUUAAGUCGGAUGUGAAAUCCCUGAGCUUAACUUAGGAAUUGCAUUCGAUACUUGGAAGCUAGAGUAUGGGAGAGGAUGGUAGAAUUCCAGGUGUAGCGGUGAAAUGCGUAGAGAUCUGGAGGAAUACCGAUGGCGAAGGCAGCCAUCUGGCCUAAUACUGACGCUGAGGUACGAAAGCAUGGGGAGCAAACAGGAUUAGAUACCCCAGUAGUCCCUGUCUCUUAUAA